rnacentral:rRNA from 1 species
UACGGAGGGGGCAAGCGUUAUUCGGAAUUAUUGGGCGUAAAGGGCGCGUAGGCGGCUAGAUGUGUCAAAGGUGAAAUCCCUCGGCUCAACUGAGGAACUGCCUUUGAAACUGUCUGGCUUGAGGCCGGGAGAGGGUAGCGGAAUUCCCAGUGUAGCGGUGAAAUGCGUAGAUAUCUGGAGGAACACCGGUGGCGAAGGCGGCAUCCUGGACCGAUACUGACGCUGAGGAGCGAAAGCCAGGGGAGCAAACGGG